rnacentral:lncRNA from 1 species
GGGUAAACAUGUUGGAAUGUGCAAUAGAUAAUGGAUAUGGAGGGAUGAUCUAGUCAUGCAUGCUAAACAGAUACAUUUAUGAGCAUAAAUAUAAUUAGCAUCUGGAAAUUAACAAGGCUAGAGAGAAGGGCAAUGUGUUUUUAAGUGAAGGCGAUGAAUAGGUACUGUUUGGUGUAUAUAGAUAAAUGAGAAUUUAAUUUGUGAGACAUAAUGUGCCAGGUGCCUCUAAAAUAUUUUUGUUUUCUACUGGAUAUCACAGUGGAUAAUGGUGUAACUCUUCAAGGUUGCAUCUCUUUCAUUGACCUGUGACUUGAUGUGACAGUAGAACUCAGAACAGAGGAUAUUUUCUGGAAUUUCGUGUCUGAGCAGUGCCUCAGAAAUAGAACCAAAAAAAGACUAGUGCUUCAUUGCUAACAAGAAAGUGGAGAUGACUCACUGCUACUAAAGGCUGUGGAAACUGAGCCUGCCACACCGUUAGCACUGCCACUGGCCUUGGUAUACACAAAGCAUUGCUUGCGUGGGCGCCCACAAGCACAUACGCACAGACACACACCUGGACUACAGAGAGGAAAAGGAGAAGUGAUUGAGAUGAUGGUGCUUCACAUCCCAGAGGGAGUUUCGUUUGACAGAUAAGCACCCUGAGUCAUGAGCUGAAUACGUGCCUAAAUCAUUUGGAGGUUGAAGGAAAUCCUAUCAAAGUUUUCUGUUGUGGUUGAACGUGCUGACUCAAAGCACUUAGUACAUGAACUACUGGAGAGAAAAUGUGGCUGGCAGUAAGUAGUGUGGUGGGCCAGGUGGAAAUCAG